AACGUAGGAGGCAAGCGUUAUCCGGAUUUACUGGGCGUAAAGCGCGUGCAGGCGGUCUUGUAAGUUGGAUGUGAAAGCUCCUGGCUCAACUGGGAGAGGUCGUUCAAUACUGCAGGACUUGAGGAUGGUAGAGGGAGGUGGAAUUCCGGGUGUAGUGGUGAAAUGCGUAGAUAUCCGGAGGAACACCAGUGGCGAAAGCGGCCUCCUGGACCAUUUCUGACGCUCAGACGCGAAAGCUAGGGGAGUAAACGGG
rnacentral:rRNA from 1 species